ACACGUGGGUAACCUGCCUUAUAGUGGGGGAUAGCCUUUCGAAAGGAAGAUUAAUACCGCAUAAGAUUGUAGUAUCGCAUGAUAUAGCAAUUAAAGGAGCAAUUCGCUAUAAGAUGGACCCGCGUCGCAUUAGCUAGUUGGUGAGGUAAUGGCUCACCAAGGCGACGAUGCGUAGCCGACCUGAGAGGGCGAUCGGCCACAUUGGGACUGAGACACGGCCCAGACUCCUACGGGAGGCAGCAUG
rnacentral:rRNA from 1 species